AAUUCCCUUCAAAUACUGAGAAUUUAACACAUACAAGGACAUAGUAUUGGAAUUUCUAGCGGGCAAGGAGAAGAGAGUGAAUUCCUUUAGAGAGCCACAGCUGAUCAUGGCGUCUGUACUUCCCGCCAAGACACACGGUUGGCCUCACUGGAGUGCCAUUAUAUUUUCAGCCUUUAUAGAGGUGACAGUGCCGUGACAGAGGUGGUGGAGGUUAUUAAUGCACCAAGGAACAGGUCUUCAGAAAACAACACGCCAAUUUAUUUGAAGUCAAGGACGGAGAUUAAAACAGCCUUGAAAAACACCACACCUGUUUUGUCCACCGCCAUCACCACCUUCUCCCAGAUCAAGGACAAGGUGUAUUACAGACUCACUCAUAAGGAAGAGGUUUGACUGAAGUAGCAUGGAGAUGGCUACUAAAAAGCACCAGAUGGCAGCAUCCCUCAGCCCUGAGCCAUCUCAAGACGCUCAGAUAACAAACUGGAACAAAUGUAUCAUUUGCCAAACAGACACUGACGAGAAUUUGCAAUGUCCAGCAGAAUCAAGGCGUACUGAUCAAGGAGCCGGGUACAUUACUUUCUCAGAGAACCUAGCCCGUUUUCAUGAACUAGAUAGUAUUCCAGUGACACUAGAUAUUCGACGACUUGAUGAGGGCAAAGGUGUUAGGACUACCCUUGAAGAACGACAUGCAAAGUGGCACAAGUCUUGUCGUAUCAAGUUCAACACAACCAAGCUACAACGAGCUGAGAAAAGAGAAUGCCCAGAUCCUGAAAAACCUCA